rnacentral:rRNA from 1 species
UAACACAAGUUGAGUAGGGAAAGUUUUUCGGUGUAGGAUGAGACUAUAUAGUAUCAGCUAGUUGGUAAGGUAAUGGCUUACCAAGGCUAUGACGCUUAACUGGUCUGAGAGGAUGAUCAGUCACACUGGAACUGAGACACGGUCCAGACUCCUACGGGAGGCAGCAGUAGGGAAUAUUGCGCAAUGGGGGAAACCCUGACGCAGCAACGCCGCGUGGAGGAUGACACUUUUCGGAGCGUAAACUCCUUUUCUUAGGGAAGAAUUCUGACGGUACCUAAGGAAUAAGCACCGGCUAACUCCGUGCCAGCAGCCGCGGUAAUACGGAGGGUGCAAGCGUUACUCGGAAUCACUGGGCGUAAAGGGCGCGUAGGCGGAUUAUCAAGUCUCUUGUGAAAUCUAAUGGCUUAACCAUUAAACUGCUUGGGAAACUGAUAGUCUAGAGUGAGGGAGAGGCAGAUGGAAUUGGUGGUGUAGGGGUAAAAUCCGUAGAUAUCACCAAGAAUACCCAUUGCGAAGGCGAUCUGCUGGAACUCAACUGACGCUAAGGCGCGAAAGCGUGGGGAGCAAACAGGAUUAGAUACCCUGGUAGUCCACGCCCUAAACGAUGUACACUAGUUGUUGGGGUGCUAGUCAUCUCAGUAAUGCAGCUAACGCAUUAAGUGUACCGCCUGGGGAGUACGGUCGCAAGAUUAAAACUCAAAGGAAUAGACGGGGACCCGCACAAGCGGUGGAGCAUGUGGUUUAAUUCGAAGAUACGCGAAGAACCUUACCUGGGCUUGAUAUCCUAAGAACCUUUUAGAGAUAAGAGGGUGCUAGCUUGCUAGAACUUAGAGACAGGUGCUGCACGGCUGUCGUCAGCUCGUGUCGUGAGAUGUUGGGUUAAGUCCCGCAACGAGCGCAACCCACGUAUUUAGUUGCUAACGGUUCGGCCGAGCACUCUAAAUAGACUGCCUUCGUAAGGAGGAGGAAGGUGUGGACGACGUCAAGUCAUCAUGGCCCUUAUGCCCAGGGCGACACACGUGCUACAAUGGCAUAUACAAUGAGACGCAAUACCGCGAGGUGGAGCAAAUCUAUAAAAUAUGUCCCAGUUCGGAUUGUUCUCUGCAACUCGAGAGCAUGAAGCCGGAAUCGCUAGUAAUCGUAGAUCAGCCAUGCUACGGUGAAUACGUUCCCGGGUCUUGUACUCACCGCCCGUCACACCAUGGGAGUUGAUUUCACUCGAAGCCGGAAUACUAAACUAGUUACCGUCCACAGUGGAAUCAGCGACUGGGGUGAAGUCGUAACAAGGUAACCGUAGGAGAACCUGCGGUUGGAUCACCUCCUUUCUA